CCGGCACGGGUGAGUAACACGUAUCCAACCUGCCGUCUACUCUUGGACAGCCUUCUGAAAGGAAGAUUAAUACAAGAUGGCAUCAUGAGUUCACAUGUUCACAUGAUUAAAGGUAUUCCGGUAGACGAUGGGGAUGCGUUCCAUUAGAUAGUAGGCGGGGUAACGGCCCACCUAGUCUUCGAUGGAUAGGGGUUCUGAGAGGAAGGUCCCCACAUUGGAACUGAGACACGGUCCAA
rnacentral:rRNA from 1 species